GACGAACGCUGGCGGCGUGCUUAACACAUGCAAGUCGAACGGAAAGGCCCUGCUUUUGUGGGGUGCUCGAGUGGCGAACGGGUGAGUAACACGUGAGUAACCUGCCCUUGACUUUGGGAUAACUUCAGGAAACUGGGGCUAAUACCGGAUAGGAGCUCCUGCUGCAUGGUGGGGGUUGGAAAGUUUCGGCGGUUGGGGAUGGACUCGCGGCUUAUCAGCUUGUUGGUGGGGUAGUGGCUUACCAAGGCUUUGACGGGUAGCCGGCCUGAGAGGGUGACCGGCCACAUUGGGAAGGGAGAACCGCCCAGGAUCCUACGGGGGGCAGGGGGGGGGGAUUUUUGACAAAGGGGGGAAGGCUGAAGGAACAACCCCGCGGGGGGGAUUGCGGCCUUCGGGUUGAAAACCGCUUUCCCCUGGGACGAAGGGGGGGGGGAGGUAAUGGGAAAAGAAGCACCGGGUAAAUACG
rnacentral:rRNA from 1 species